AUUGAACGCUGGCGGCAGGCCUAACACAUGCAAGUCGAGCGGGGUUUUCGGACCUAGCGGCGGACGGGUGAGUAAUGCGUAGGAAGCUACCCGAUAGAGGGGGAUACCAGUUGGAAACGACUGUUAAUACCGCAUAAUGUCUACGGACCAAAGUGUGGGACCUUCGGGCCACAUGCUAUCGGAUGCGCCUACGUGGGAUUAGCUAGUUGGUGAGGUAAUGGCUCACCAAGGCGACGAUCCCUAGCUGGUUUGAGAGGAUGAUCAGCCACACUGGAACUGAGACGCGGUCCAGACUCCUACGGGAGGCAGCAGUGGGGCAUAUUGGACAAUGGGCGCAAGCCUGAUCCAGCCAUGCCGCGUGUGUGAAGACGGCCUUCGGGUUGUAAAGCACUUUCAGCGAGGAGGAAGGGGUGAGUGUUAAUAGUACUCAUCUUUGACGUUACUCGCAGAAGAAGCACCGGCUAACUCUGUGCCAGCAGCCGCAGUAAGAC
rnacentral:rRNA from 1 species